AGCGACCAGGCGCGACAGCAUAGCCGCGGAUACGGGGACCGGCGCACCGACACUCACCUCAUCGUGUACAUCAUCUGCGGGGUGGUGGCCGUCAUGGUGCUGGUUGGCAUCUUCACCAAACUGGCCGUGGAAAAGACCCGCGGAGGGAGCGGCAGGGGGGCGGGGCCUGCUCAGCCUGACCUCAACACCAGGACGCUCACGGACCUCCUGAAGCAGCGGGGAAGUGACGCCAGCUCCAUGGAGAACACCGUGAGCGGCUCGCCCGGCGGCGGCGGCGGCGGCGGCGGCAGACGAGCCAACGGCGUCUCGACCAGGAUGCUGCGCAGCAGAAGUGAACAGUACCAGCUGAAUAACUCGGCGUACGGGCUGGCAGGACAAGGGCUUCCACAUCCUCAGAGCAACCACAGCACCCUGGGGCUGAACAAGUACGCCUCCCUCAAAGCUGUGGCCGAGACUGCGUCCCGCAGCCACUACAAGAGCUUCCCGGUCAUGGACUUCUCCCAGUACCAGCACGCUCCCGCCUUCCAGCCCGUGCAGCCCAAAGAGAAGUCCUACAUCCACCAGCCGUUACCGGCGCACCCCGACAUCCACAGCCCGCUCUCCAUCGCCAUCCCCCCCAGCAACCUGGAGCAGUGCCGCCUCCCCAAGACCGUCACGCACCCCUUCAUCUCCAGCUCCGCCUUCAAAGCCUGGGAGGCCUCGGACCGCCACGUCCACCGCCAGACCUCCGUCCCCGCCAACAACUCCACGGCGCUGCACGGCUCCCGGAGACACGGCUACUCCACGCGGAGGCAGCGGAGCAUCGAGGACAUGCCGGAGGUCUUCAACCAGCCGUACGGCGGCGCGUACCGCCAGCAGCAGCCGUCGUACAACCGCAACGCCAGGCAGAAGAGCUACUCCACCCACAGCGCCACCGAGGUGACCGUGUGAGCGGCGCCGGACCUUUUCAUCCAAACCCAGAGGAAGGAUGAGACUCCCGACCUCCUCAAAGGUCACACGGGCUUCACACUCAACCACAGCAGCUCCACGCCGGCAGACGUGGCGGCGGAGGCGGUACGCCGCGUUCACGAGACGGGACUAAUCCUUUCUGCGAGUCCUAAAGCUUUGAGCGGACGGCCCAAAAAGUCAAGAUUUUCUUUAUCUGAUGACACACGUUGGUUUCUAAAUAGAUUUAAGGGAAUUUUUCAGCUUUUAGAGCAAAAACAAAGUUUAAAACACCUUUAGUCACUAAGUUUUACAGAUUUUUAUAAAUUAUUUUGGCAAAACACACUAAAAUAGAUCAUUUUGAAUACACAAAAGCCCCCAAAAGUUAUAUGUAUUGUAGA
ensembl:lncRNA